rnacentral:rRNA from 1 species
ACUCAAAGGAAUAGACGGGGGCCCGCACAAGCGGUGGAGCAUGUGGUUCAAUUCGACGCAACGCGAAGAACCUUACCUGGGCUCGAAGCGCAGUGGACCGGGGUGGAAACAUCCCUUUCCGCAAGGACUGCUGCGUAGGUGCUGCAUGGCUGUCGUCAGCUCGUGUCGUGAGAUGUUGGGUUAAGUCCCGCAACGAGCGCAACCCUUAUCACCAGUUGCCAUCACGUUAUGGUGGGCACUCUGGCGAAACCGCCCCGGAUAACGGGGAGGAAGGUGGGGAUGACGUCAAGUCCUCAUGGCCUUUAUGUCCAGGGCUACACACGUGCUACAAUGGAUGGUACAAACCGUCGCAAACCCGCGAGGGGGAGCUAAUCGGAAAAAGCCGUCCUCAGUUCGGAUUGGAGUCUGCAACUCGACUCCAUGAAGCUGGAAUCGCUAGUAAUCGCGGAUCAGAACGCUGCGGUGAAUACGUUCCCGGGCCUUGUACACACCGCCCGU